GGCCCAUGACGUGCUUGCGCUCUUGGGAAUGCCUGAGAGCAUGUCUGCUUCAGUGCUUCUACUUUCAUUUGCUGCUGCUCUUGUUAUCGGGAGCAGUGUUGCUGCAUGCUUCUGCAAAAGGCACUGGCAUGCUAAGUAUCAAGUUUUGCUUGCUGUUCUGACUGAUCAACAUCUCAUGUCGUUUCAGUUGGCGAAACAAAAGCUGAAGUGUGUUCUUAACACUUCCUAGCAUGAAGUCAGACAAGUGAACCCGCUGAACUUAAGCUAAAUGGAUCCCUAUAAAAAAUUCCAGUCUUGACCUCAAGUCGAGCCACGCUACCCGCUGAACUUAAGCAUAUGGAUCCCAAGAGUAAG
rnacentral:rRNA from 1 species